GGGGCUAUAGCUCAGUUGGAAGAGCGCCUCCAUGGCAUGGAGGAGGUCGGGGGUUCAAUUCCCCCUAGCUCCACCG
rnacentral:tRNA from 1 species